AGUAAAAAAAUUAACUCAUUGUGUGUGGUGGACCACGUAGGACCAACUAGCUGUGAAUUUUUUAUUAUAUAAAUAUGCAAGUAAUUUUGUAGUUGAAAAAUCAUAAAUAUGUUUGUGUUUAUAUCUAAGGUUAAAAAUCAACACUAAGUUUUCCAUAAGUUUUCCUCAAGCACGUAUAGGUACAAGGAGUGGUUGUGGGUUCAACCCCCCCCCCCCCCCCCGAAAAUUAUUAGUUGUGUAGUUUUUUUUAUCAUCAUUCAUCGAUAAAUAUUGAUUAUUGUAAAUUUUUUUAUGAACCCUCAUCCCGUUUGUGUAUAGGCCUGGUUUUCCUUCAAAUAGCUAUAGAGAAGACUCGAAACAUAAUAAUAGGAAGAAUGUUAUGUGCGUUUAAAUUUUAAAUUUUAAUGAAGUAGGUAGGUAAACAUUUCAGUAGGUAGGUAGAUAGUAGAUACUAAUCUAUAUUGUCGUAGAGUUUCUUGGUUAUCUAUACGAUCUGAUAAAAUAGGUAUGAGUAUAGUGUUAUACAAGACUUGAAUAUGUUAGUCGUUGAUGAUUGAUGAUUUAUGAAAAAUUCUUAAUUCACUUUACACUCUAAAAUGACUUGUAUGUUUAUAUUUAUGAUCAAUUGUCGUGCGGUGAAUUUUAAUUGUGGUCAAUUAUAUUCCGUCAGUUAUUUAUUUACGAUAAAUUGACGGUACACCAGUAGUAGCACCAGGUACAGUCAUUUUUCUUUGGUUGAUGGUGUUUAUAGUUAAGGUUAAAAAAUUCAACACUAAGUUUUCAAUAAGUUUUCUUUCAAGUAGCUAUAGAGAAAACUCGAAGCAUCAUUAUAGAAAAAAUUUUAAGUGCGUUUGAAUUUUAAAUUUUUACGAAAUAGCGUAACGAUAACGAUUUAUCCUUAAACGGUUUUAAAUAUUUGUUAUUAUUUAGAAAGUAUAAAUCGUAGAUACUUGAAAAUUUCACCAGUUAUUUAGAAUGGCAUUUUCUUUACAUAAUUUAAUUUUCAAAAUAUUUUGACUUUGUUGAGCUAUUUAUAGACAACUGCAAUUUUAAAUUUUUCUGAACAUUUUUUUUUGAAGUGUCGAUAAAAUUUUUUGGAAAAUCAAAAUACUUGAAUAUUUAAUACAAAGUUAUACACAAGUCAUUCUUAUUGUGGUUAAAAAAUUAUAAGAAUACAUAGGCACAUUUUUUUUUAUUAACAUUUGAAGUUUAAAUAUUGACAAAAAUUAGUUAAAACCAUGAAUAUUUGUAAAAUAUUUUGUAAGUAUAAUUCAUAAAAAUGUUUGUAUAAGUAGCUAAAAGUUGAAAAUUCAAUACGUGAUUUUCCAAAAGCUUUGUUUAUAAUAAUUAUAAAAUAACUUAAAUUCUGGCGUAUUCAGGCCAUUAAAAUAUAAAUCACUUUUUUCACCAACCAUUCGAAAUAAUAUCCUAGGUUGAUAAAUCAUCUUCUUGCAGAAUCGUUUUUCGUAUACAAUGAUGCCUAUCACUGGAUUCAAAUUUAACACUACUAUAAUAUAUAAUAAUGAUUCAUACGGCACCUAAUGUACAGCAGAGCGGUACCCACUUAUCCGUUUUUUAAUUGUUUUUUUAGUUGUUAUCCUACGUAUUAUAUUGUGUCAUUUGGUAACUAUCUACCUGUCCCAGUGAGAUAUGGGUCGCGCUAAUUAUGUUUUAUCCAAUUGGUACAUAGACACAUGGUAGCUUAAAAUAUUAUAUAGUUUACACCGUGUGCUAUAUAAUUAUUUAUUCAACAUGCUUAAACAGAAUAUGCACACAAAAUCUCUACCUAAAAGCACUUUUAGUGAUCUUGAUUUCAAAUCCAUAAUUAAUGAAUAUUUCAUAGCUACCUUAAAUUAAGUUAAUUCCGCUGAUCUUAAGUUGAACUCGGUAUUUGUUUGCUCCUCAAAUAACUGAGCUGCGAGCUGAAAAUUGCAAUAUUCGAGAUGAAAUUGAUGUCCUGAAAAGAAAAUUAAUCAGCGUUGAGUACUCUCGUAAUACUAAACAUGCACUUUCACUUGUUACUCUAUUUUUCUUCGGGAGAUCUUCGUGUGGGAAAGUUGUUUAUUUUAUUGACACAGUGUAUUUCCUUUUACUCCGAUUUGUUUAAAUAUUGGUGUCUGUAAGGAUAUACCGUUUCAUAUUUCCAUUGACCUAUUUCUAUUUAAUCACAUACCUACCUCUAAAAUGUUGGAAUCACUAGUAUUGAAUACUCUACAACCAUCUAUCAAUAGUAUGUUAAUGGAGGAGCAUCAUGGUUUUCCACCCACUAACCUACUAUUGUAAUCACCCUUAAUUACUAAUUAGUACUGUUAUUGGCGAGUCUCUUUUAUAAUGCUUCCUGUUCUAGAUUAGGGACAGAUAUCAAUGAGUAAAACAUAGUGAUAUAAUUAUAAUUAAAAUUUAAAACACAAAUUACGAUGUUUUGAUUCAGAAUCGUAAAGUCGAAGUUAUCAAGUCUGUUGCACACCCGAAGCAUACACCUUUUAUAUUCAUUAAAAAUAUAUGAUUGACUGUGGAAUCACUUAUUAAAAACCGUUUUUAAUCCUCGUUCUUUGCAAGUGUAAGAUUAUGAUUAUUAAUAGAAUUUUUUUUCUAUAGUUUUUUCUUACCGCCUCAAUGCGUCACAUAUUAUGCAUGUUGUUUAUGAUUACCUCACGGACCUAUGAUUUAAAUUCAACCGUAGACUUAAUCUAAGUUUCAAAUGAAUUAUUUUUGUUGUAAUGGUUUAAAAACCCCUUAGUUCAGGUCUCCCGUUUAGUUUGUCGAUUAAUGCACUUUUUCGCACUUGUGCGUCCAAUACUUACUAGAGUAAGGGGCGAUUGUAUGGUAUUAUUAUACUGCAGAUGACUCAUUGUAGCUUGAAAUGGUACAGCGAUGAUUUUUUUCGAUUUAUCAGUCAUUUGUUGCAGAUUCCAUGUAAGCCCCAUGGUUAUACUCCUGUGUCUGACUUACUCAAUUUGACUACACUAGUUUAGCAUAGAUAUUUAGCAGGAAUAAACUUCAUGAAAGAUCUCUUGAAAAAUAAAAGUUUAUUUUUCAGCUCUUAUCCCAUUGUUUUGUUUUAGGGUUCCUCAGCAUACUUUUAGGAUUGCAGUUUUUUUUUAAAUUCUACAUUCUACUAGUUACUACUAACUACAUGCUUAAUAACCCUAUUAGGCAAAUGUCUGCAUAAGCGUAACUACGGGUCAAGACAGUCAGGCAGUGGCCUGACUUAAUACUGGCUACAUGUCAUAGUAUCAUAUUGACUUACUAAUUAAUAGAAUUUAAAAUAAAAAUUUAAAACUUAGAAUUUUUUUUUAUAAUUAUCAUUUAGCUUGUCCUAAUAAAUUUGUUAAGUUUCGCCGAUGCACAUAUUGCUUCAAUAUGGAUUCCUUCUUUUUUAUGUGGUUGUUCAUGUAAUGUAACGGAUUUGCAUGCGCAUGCACUUUUAUAAUAAACUUUUACACUUUUUUCUCUGUUCAAUACUAUUUCAAUAAAAUUAUAUCUUAUAAUCUUAAAAUAAUAUUUUAAUGUAUUGUACUUUUGAAAAUGAAGACUACGUUCGUUCAUUUGUUGAAUGAAUUGAUAAAUAAAUAAUAAAAUAUCUUUAAUAGUGUUAAAAAAAGUGGUUUACUAUCUAUUAUGUAUAAUUUGGAAUAUAAUAUUUAUAAAUCUGUAACUAUGGGUGUAGCUAGGAUUUCAAUGAUGGGGGGGGGGAUUAAGACUUGUUUUUUUUAAAGUUUUUUUAAAGGUAUAUUAUUAUUUUUAAAUUAUAUCAAUUACAAUUGUCUAGAGUCCUCUCAAAAUCAAAGUAUAAUACCAAUUUCUAAAGUGAUUUUAAUGUAAAAUUUGUACAUUUUGUAUAAAGAAAUAGAAUUAAAUUUGAGGCGUAGUGGGGGGGGGGGGGCAUUCCCCUCCAUCGAUACGCCCAUGUGUGUAACAUAACUGUCUUAAAAAAAUUAAAUUCCGUUUUAAAAUCUCUCUAGGAAGUUCUGGUAAUGAUGGUGGUAAUCAUGGAGUAUCAACCUCGAGUUAUGGUAGAGGUAAUGAUGCCGACAGCUCUGGAUUAGUGAUUAUUUCUGUAACGACCAAUAACGAAGGAAGCGAAGGUGCAUAUGGUGGUGCUGACUGUGGUGGUGGUGCUAGCUGUGGUGGUGGUUAACAAGAUAAUAUUGAUUUGAUCGACACCUUUUCAUACUAACUAAACAUUUAUCAAUUUCUUCGAGUUUUAAACUGAAUAUUAUUAUAAACAUUUUAAAUUAUAAACUUAUAUAAAGUUAGUUAAUUAUAAAGUGUUCGGAAUAGGUUUAUUGUAGAACGCAUUAAUAAAUAUCAUUUAAGUUAUUGUUUCACAU